rnacentral:lncRNA from 1 species
GUGUGCAGUGCACAGUGAAAUAAUAACAACAUGAUACAUUGCUUCCUCAGGAGAAAACCGUGAUGGUCCGACCCCUACAAGUCCAGCCCAAGGAGACUCAGGAAUCACAGAUGGGAAAGACUCAGCUGAGGACGUUAAAGUUGCAGACUCAGCUGACACCACAAAUCAGCCAGAUGGACAAGACUCAGAUGAACCAGGCAGUGAGACCGCAUCAAGCUCAGAGACCAUCGACGAUGCAGACCAAGUUGACAUGGAGGCUACAUCAAAGUCCAUCUCAAAAGAGGAAAGCAUGGAGAAGAGCACUGAGGCAGAUUCCACAAGUAAGGACUGACUGGAAGUUUCAAGGAAGUCCUUAAAAAAAACACACACACACCUCCUGUAAU